rnacentral:rRNA from 1 species
UACAGAGGUCUCAAGCGUUUGUUCGGAUUCAUUGGGCGUAAAGGGUGUGUAGGUGGCGCGCUAAGUCGGGUGUGAAAUCCUGAGGCUUAACCUCGGAACUGCAUUCGAUACUGCGGUGCUUGAGGACUGGAGAGGAGACUGGAAUUCAUGGUGUAGCAGUGAAAUGCGUAGAGAUCAUGAGGAAGACCAGUGGCGAAGGCGGGUCUCUGGACAGUUCCUGACACUGAGGCACGAAGGCCAGGGGAGCAAACGGG